CCUACGGGAGACAGCAGUGAGGAAUAUUGGUCAAUGGGCGCGAGCCUGAACCAGCCAAGUCGCGUGAGGGAAGACGGUCCUAUGGAUUGUAAACCUCUUUUGUCGGGGAGCAAAAGACGCCACGCGUGGCGUUCCGAGAGUACCCGAAGAAAAAGCAUCGGCUAACUCCGUGCCAGCAGCCGCGGUAAUACGGAGGAUGCGAGCGUUAUCCGGAUUUCUUGGGUUAAAGGUGUGCGCAGGCGGAAGAUCAAGUCAGUGGUAAAAUUGAGAGGCUCAACCUCUUCGAGCCGUUGAAACUGGUUUUCUUGAGUGAGUGAGAAGUAUGCGGAAUGCGUGGUGUAGCGGUGAAAUGCAUAGAUAUCACGCAGAACUCCGAUUGCGAAGGCAGCAUACCGGCGCUCAACUGACGCUCAUGCACGAAAGUGUGGGUAUCGAACAGGAUUAGAUACCCCUGUAGUC
rnacentral:rRNA from 1 species